rnacentral:lncRNA from 1 species
CUUGGAUCCCGGACCCCUCAGGAUGGCCGCCCCCGCGCCGCAUGGCCGGAUGAGGAGAACCCGGCACUAGCCAACUCCCGCCUUCUGGACUUCUGGGUAGUAGCCUCUGACUCAGGGGCGAGGGUCGGAGCUGUUGGCCGGAGAAGGGGUCUUUCCCCCCCUUGGGGGUAAGGGGCCUGCGCUCCCUGGGCUCAGACCAUGCGACCCCCCCUCGUGAUAAGCCACUACUACUUUUGUACCCCUCUCAGGCCCUUAAGACCUGCUCCUCACUCUUCAGGCUCCAGGUGCUGACACCAGACUCGACUGCUUUUGGGGAAAAGUACUUGGCUUUCCUUUCCGAACGUCCUUCCCUGGUUUCCUCCCUUCACGUUCUUCAGCCAGGCCUUAUUAAAAUGGCCUCCCCCUCUUGGACUUUAAGGCCCGGGUGAAGUUUGGAUGGGGCGAGAAGGAGAGGUGGACAGGGACAUCCUCAUUCUAGCUCCUUAUGAUUUCUGAGGGUCUCCCACCUCUCCCAGGAUGAGUUCCUUCAAGUCCUCUAAUUAUCCUGGAGCUUCCUGGUUUCUAGCUGUUCCAGGACCCGCCUAUAAACUGAAAAUGCCAACGUGUGCAGCAUGGGGGAGUGGGGGCUGCUUUUGGUUGACAAACCUAUAUGUGUAUAUCCAGGAGAAUUCCGGAUAGUGGGACUAUUUGAUAUGGUCCAUAAUAAUAGAGUUCCUGUUGACCUUCCGGUGGAACUUCUUAUGAUAUCACUGUAGAGGGUGCUUGUUGAAAUUCAGAACUGAAUUAAGUGAACUUCUUGUCUCCUGUUUUUAAGUUUUAGUAAGAAACUUUAGGUGUAUCCAUUCUGAGAAGAGUAAACUAGAUUAAGAUUAGCCUUUUUUUUUUUCUUUUUUUUAAUAUUGCUCAUUUGAGGAAGGUGCCAGAGUAUUCCUGUUUCCUCACUUCCUGGCUUUCCCAGUCAUAGAAAGUUUUUACUUACCGGAAGUGGCCCCCAAAAGUGGAACAUUACAUAUUCUUAAAUCUCUGCAUUCUUAGAUUAGCAUAGUGGUUUUGUCCCAGGACUUUGGAAAGUUGAUUUCAGCACAAGAAUUGGAGUUUCUGGUUUUCAGCUCAUGCUUGUCAUUGGCAUUGCAUUUGCAGUGAUAGGAUGAAUAUCAGAUUUACUUAUUAAUUUUUAUGGGAAUUUGUACUACAAUAGAAGAAAAAAAAUAAUUCCCAAAAUGUAAAAGAGUAAUGUAGGUCAUGAGCCAUUAUGAUGCCAAGUACUUUUUUGUCACUAGGAUUUUCUGUCAUGUUACUUGAAGCCUUCAGUUGUAUAUUGAUUUUUGUAGAGUGUUGUUUAAAGUAUUUGUUCUUUUUGUUUGGAGGAAGAUUCACAUUAUAUUCUCUGAAGCAGUCUAAAAUAUGAAUUUAUUACUAAUCGGCCUGUUGUCUGAGUGAAGUAACAUUGAUAAUGCUGCUUAAUAAGUAACAAUAUUCCUUUCUACUCUUUGAUGAAGAAAGCUUAUUCUUAAAUUUGUUCCUAAGCAUGUCACCUAGCCACUUGAAAGUUAUAAGUACCUCCUUUUAAAGGUUUGAAGGCUUUACUAAACUCUUUGUUUAGUAAAGUUUGAAGCAUGCUAAAAAAUGAAGCUAUUAGGCACAGCUCUUCUUCCAAGUGGUAGUUUGAACAUUUUAGACAUGAUUAAACUGUCUAAAAUAGUAGGGACUCUUCCUCUAAACAGUGUGGUUAAUGAUCAUGUCCUGUUUGCUUCUAGUCAGGCUUUGGUUGCAUCUUGAUUCCAUGAAAACUUAAAAUCUUAGCCAUUUCUCAUGUUGGUUAGGGAGUCAAGUUUGUUCUGUGACUCACAAGGUUCCUGGUAUAUGUCGUUUUCUCAUGGGAAACAAAAAUAUUGUAUUUUCAAUUCUUUUUUGUGUUAAAGUCAAACUCUAGUUUUUCAUAGUGUAUAGUGAGAAAUGUUUUUCUUCUUUACCUAAAGUUAAAUAUUUUAGGAGUAAUUGUAAUGAGCUAUAAAGACAAACUGAGUCAAUCCAUGUGUGCUGGUGUCUGCGGGGCUACCGUGUAGCUUUCAGGAGAAAAUGGGUUGUGUUAAAGCAUGUUUAUUAGCACAAGACGGUGAAAUUUAGUGGUGGGUUAACAGAAUGUAAAAAUGACUUCUCCAACGGUAUAGAAUUCUGAACAUGAGAAUCAGGAAUUAGUUCAUUUUUAACAUUUCUAAGAUAUGAGUGUUAUUCUGAAAUUUAGAUAAUAAAUGAUUAUCUUUUGAUAUAUGACCCAAACAUAGUGUAGCUUAAAAAGAACCACCUGCAAGAUGAUACAUUAGAACAGAAUGAGGUAUCUAGAUAAAAUAAUUUAUUGAGCACUUAGUAUAUUACACUGUUUUUAAAAAUACAUUGUAUCAUUCACAACAAUAAAUACUGCCACCAUUUGAUAGACAAGGAAACAGACUGAGAAGUUAGAUAACUUGCAGUCCAUAAUGUCAUAGAGUGAUAAUGUAUAAUAGUCCAGCACUUGAACCAGUGUGCUCUACUGGAUAUAUUUUAUGUUUUCCAAAAUAUGAAAGUCUGGAUUUAUUCAACAUAAUCUGAACUAUAACAGACUGUGUUAUGCCUGUGGAAGAACAUUUAUAAAGGCGACGUUUCUGAAAUGGGAAACUUUGCUAACAUUCUCAUAGUAUUAUACUUAAUACGAUUUUUUUAAGUUGGGUGGAACAUACUUUAUUUUGGUUUUAUAUAAGUAUGAUUGAAUGUUAGUCUAUAUUGACAAGUAAAAUAACCAGCCAGCUCUUUUGCUAAACAUAAUCCUCACUUAAAGUUGAUGGUAGUUUUUCCCUACUUAUGAUUGUUCCUGGUAUAUUCUUCACAGUUGGCGUAUGAGGACAAAUGUGUACAUAGCCUGGGAAUAGGGCCAUGUGAGUUGAACCGUCCUUGGUUUCAAAUAAGGAACUAAAGCAGGUGAACAUGUCACAAGAAAGUUAGGUACGGAUUUCUGGUUGUUUUUGUUUCCCCUGAUGUUUUCUAAGCAAGCAAGAGGUAGCCCCAGAAAUGGUUUGGAAGCUUUAUAGUUUAUGUAAUAAAAUAACCAAAGCCUCAUCUAAUCAAUGGUCAUGAGGAAUGUGACAAGGAAAAAUAUGGUGUUAGUUUGGGUUAUGUCUGUAGAUCUUAGAAUAUUUUUCACUUAUCUUCAUGAAGAAAUCUUGCAUAUUUCAAGUAUAAACUUAUUGAGGCAUAAUUUGGUUUUUUUAAUUCCUCAAUAUUCUUGGAGAGCUGAUUUUUAACUAAAGUAAUACCCUGGGCUGGGCGUUAGUUUAGCAGUAGAAUACAUGCAUAGCAUGCAUAAGGCCCUGGGUUUGAUACAAUCCCCAGCACUGCCAAAAAUUAUAAUACCUUUUAAGGGAUACCUUGUAAUCUUUCAUAUAGAUAAUUGAACUAUUCAGUGUUUGGGUUUUUGUUUGUUUAUUGUUUGUUUGUUUGUGCUGGGGAUUGAACCCAGGGGUGCUAAAUAACUGACCCACAUUCCCAGCCCUUUUAAUUUUUUGAGACAGGGUCUAGUAAGUCCUUAGGGCCUCACUAAGUUGCUGAGGUUGGUCUCAAAUUGUGAAACUCCUGCCUCAGCCUCCCAAGCUGCUGGGAUCAGGUUUUUAAAGAAGUUUUUGUUGUUUUGUGGUGGGGAUUGAUACACCCAGGGGAUCAAUCCUCCCACCUCAGCCUCUUUGAGUCGCUGUGAUUAUAGGCAUGCACCACCACACCUGGCUUAACAAAGACUUCAGCUCUUCCUUCUGUAUCCUAGAAUCUCUGAGAUUACAAGCAAGAGGACUUUUUUAUCCUUGGUUCUUGCUCCUUCCAUCUUCCACCCCCAUCUCUGAUGGGAUAAAAGACCACUGAGAGAAAACUCAACAAUUAGAAUGUUUAAAAGUUUCUCCAAAAGAGAUGAGACUUCAGAGGUCUUAGUGGCCCCAACUACCUAUUUGACCUAUAGCAAGUUAUUCUUUCAAAGCUUUGGUUUUCACGCUUAACUAUGAACAAUAUCUUGGAUUAGGUGGUAACAGUCAAUGUGAUAUGGGUUUAAAAGUCAAAUACUACAUUUAUCCCAUAGAGUGUUCUGCAAAUGUUAAUUCUCUCCUUUGUGUACACAAAUACUGAGCCUUUAGAAAUAGAAGCCAGGUACAGUUGCACAAGCCUGUAAUUCCAGCUACUCAGGAGCCUAAGGACUGAGGAUUGUAAAUUUGAGGCCUGCUCUGGCUGCUUAGUGAGACCUUGUCUUUAAAAGGACUGGAGUUAAGUGCUGCGGCAUGCCUGUUCAAAGCCAGCCCUAGCAACUUAGGCCCUAAGCAACUCAAUAAGACCCUAUCUUAAAAUAAAAUACACAAAAGGUCUUGGGGGUAAGACUCAGUGGUUAAGUGCCCCUGGGCACUCAACCCCUAAUACGGGGCGGGGGGGGGGGGGGGAGAAGGUCUAGGGAUGUGGCUGAGUGGUAGAUCACCCCUUGGUUCAUUUCCCAGAACCAGAAAAAAAUUAUAAAAGAAUUGUUAAGGGGUAAGGAUACAAAUACCACCAGCAGAUCUGAGCCAUGAGAAAAGAGGUGAUAAAAGGAAGAGGGAGAUCAGAGUAUAUAUAAUGGGAUGUGUUGGUGUUCCUCAGUCUUCACAAGUGUCAUAGGCUUCCUGUCUCAACUUAGAACUAGUUGUAACAGCUGUAGUAUUUUGGCUUGGUGUUCUGUGCAUUGUGGACUUAGGGAACAAUCACUCUUUGAAUUUCAAGUCUUGACAAACUUCUCAUUGUAAUAGCAGAUACACUUAUCCUUCCAGGGAACGAUGGCAUUCUCUGAACACACACUAGGUAAAGCAAGAAUAACUAAUUAGAAUACCAUUUAAAGCAGAGUACAUUGUAGGUUACAAGCUUGUCCUGCCCCCUGCCUCCACCAGUUGGAUCCUUUUCGGGUGGUGGGGGGGGAGGCUGUUUUUCUCCAAAUUUGGGAUUGAAGUUAUGCUCAGCAUAGACCCCCUAUCCUGGAAAGAUGUGUGGUUGUGAAAAAAAACUUAAAUUUUGAGAUUUGCAGGACUAAAUGGUCUUAGAUCCUAUUUGAAGAAUAGGAAGGACAGAAGUUUCUUCUGAGUUCAGCCUAUUCUCUAGGGAUCUCAGAAUAGAACCUUCUCCUGGGAUACAUUCUAUAGCUGUCUCUCCAUUUUUCAGCCUACUAUCUUAGGGUAAAAAGAGAUUAAGAUUUUUCACCAUGUUAGAAAUUAUGAAUGUGAGGUUUCUCACUUGGGCUGUGUCCUCAGCAUGAUUAAAAUGCCUCUGAAAACAGCUUUAUUUUAUGCUCUUUGACAUACUUAAGAUUUGACGUUUUCAGGUACCCAGCAAUUGAUUCUUACCAUGCAUAUAACUUGCAUGCUAGAACCAUAUUUAUUUCAUAUUUCAUUUGAUCUUCUAAUUUCUCCUUUAGAAAAAAUUAUCAUAGUCAAAAGGUUCUCUUUCCUGCUAUGUCUAGGUUUGACUUUGUAGUGCUGGGGAUCAAGCCCAGGAUUUUGACACAGGGCCUCACUAAGUUGCUGAGGCUGGCUUUGAACUUGGAAUCCUCCUGCCUUGACCUCCCGAGUCCCUAGGAUUACAGGCAUGCUCUACCAAGCCCAGCACUAUAAAUGUAUUCUUACUACUGACCAGUGAACCAACAGGAUUCAUCAAACAUCUGCUCUUAGUUGGGCUAGACAUUUUGAAAGAAGUGUGUAAUAAAAUGAGAACAUGGUCAGCUACACAUCCCUAUAAUAAUGAUAUAGCCAGUAUAUGUUGAAGAGGUUUAGUAUAAGCAGAUGAUUAGGAUCUUGAAUGAGGUGUUAGACAUUGUAAAAAAGGAAAAGAGACUGUGUAGCUACUCGGGCAAAAUUUAACAAUUUCCUAGGCAAGGCAAGUGUCAAAGAAUGUUACUUAGAUGUUAGUAUUAUUGGACUGAUACAGUGUCUUUGAUACAGCAGUAAAGUAGAGCUAUACCUGAUCUGCAACUUUAAAAUUGUAAUUCAUUCUUUUUUGGUCCUAGGGGUGUACCCAGAGCUGCUUGCUAAUAAGCACAUGUUCUACCAUUGAGCACACCCCCAGCCCUUUUUCAUUUUGAGAAAGGGUCUAAGUUGCCCAAGCUGGCCAUGAAUUUGUGAUCCUUCUGCCUCAGCCUUCUGAAUAGCUUGGAUUACAGACAUGUGCCACUGUGCCUGGUACUAAUGUUUCUGAUAUUUUUACUGAAGAGCUUUGGUUUACCUAUGUUCUGAUAUUUGUGGUAUUUUAGGGUCUAACUCAGGAAAGAUGCAGAUUUAGAGAUUUAGUUUGAGAUGUGUUUUUGUGCUGGGAAUUGAACUCUGCACAUGCCAAGUGCACAUUGUACCACUAAGCUACACCCACAGCCCUGAGAUACAUUUUUUAAAAUAUUUAUUUAUUUUUUUUAGUUUUCCGCAGACACAACAUCUUUGUUUGUGGUGCUGAGAAUCGAACCCGGGCCGCACACAUGCCAGGCGAGCGUGCUACCUCUUGAGCCACAUCCCCAGCCCCCUGAGAUUAUUUUAAUCAAGUAAUAAAACUACUUUUCCAAAGAUAAGUAAAUGAGCCAGGUGUGGUGUACAUGCCUAUAAUCCCGGUGGCACGGAGGCUGAAGCAGGAGGAUUGCAAAUUCAAAGCUAGCAUCUGCAACAGCAAAGCCCUAAGCAACUUAGACUGUUUCAAAAUCUAAAAAGGCCUGGGGAUGUAGCUCAGUGGUUAAGCACCCCUGGGUUCAAUCCCUAGGGGUAGGGGAGGGAUAAAUAAAUGAGUAACAUACAUUUUUGACUCCUUAUAACAGAUGUAUGAGGGAAGAUAUUGCCGUUUCAUGGUUGGAGAAUAUGAAGUAUAGAAAGAGUAGGUAGCUGCCUAGUAUCACAGCCUAGUGAGAGGCAGUGUCAUAUUCUUCUAUUCCCGCUUUUCCAGUUUCAAAGCCUGUGCUUCUACUCCCUAUCGCUCUUUGUCAGGUAUUUCUUUUGCUGAAUGGAAACAUCCUCCCAUUCUCUUUUGAAAGGAGGACUUUUGUCUAAGGAGAUUUAUAAUUUUCUAGAGGGAGCAGGUGUGCUGAGAUUCAGGAACAAGAUAAAAGGAAAACAGGCAUGCCAUUUGUACAUCUUCCUUAGAAAGAACUUGAAUACCAAACAUGUUUACUCUUAAUGAGCAUUGGUGAUGAGGGAAAUAACUUGUGGCUGCACUGGAUGUUCAUUUGUAUAUAUUUUUUUUUUCUUUUAAUAUUUAUUUUUUAGUUAUCGGCGGACACAACAUCUUUGUUUUGUAUGUGGUGCUGAGGAUAGAACCUGGGCCGCACGCAUGCCAGGAGAGUAUGCUACCUCUUGAGCCACAUCCCCAGCCCCAUCAUUUGUAUAUUAAAAAGGUGAUUAAUGAGAAGGCUGUGACUUUGGGUUUAUUUGAAAAGUAGUUCGGUAGGGUCGUGGCUCAGUGGUUAAGCACUUGCCUUACAUGCCUGAGGCACUGGGUUUGAUCCUCAGCACCACGUAAAUAAAUAAAACAAAGAUAUAGUGUCCAUCUACAACUAAAAAAAAAUGUUUAAAAAAAAUAUAUGACUCUAUCACAGGGUCCAAUGUAGAACUCUGGUAGUAAGUCCCUAAUGUUGUUUGUGAUUGCUGUUUCCUGGCUUUGCACUGUUGUGAGAAAACUAAAGGAAAUUUUCAGCUUCUGCUGCUCCCUGGUGGAAUAUUCCACUAGUUUACUUUUAUGAAGUUCUUUUAGUAAAUGCCUAUAACUAUAGAAAAAGUAAUACUCUACCAGAUGUUACAUUUUUAUUUUAGAUGACUGAGUAAUUUUUGUGCUUUUGAGGGUAGAACACUAAAAUGGUAUUUGCAAACUUUCUGCUGAAAUACUGGGAAAUUUGAGCUAUUCUGUACCUGAGACAGAAGGCUGCUUUAAUGUUUCAGUAAGUUCAAAUCUUGAUAUUUCUCCCAUCUGGCGGUAGUAUCUGGUCAAUUGACAAACCAAUUUCAGAUAACUGGAACGGGAACAGAAUACUCCCUUCUACAUGCUAUUUUAACCAAGUUGUUUUUAUAAAAGGCAGCCCCAUCUACCUCCUGACCUUCCUCAUUGAUAAUUGCAGAAUAGGGGUGGGGUGACAUUAUAGUGAGAAUUCGCAAAAUAAAAAACACUGUUAGAAGUGAUGGUUUGAGCUUUUUAAUGAAGCGAAUCUGGGGACAGUGAGUUAUUUUUAAGGCACGUGUGUGUUCCUUUGCAAGGAAUAGAGGCAGGGGUUGUUUUUUAUGACCCGUUAUCACUAUGUUGCUUGAGUUUGCCUUGAACUUGCAGUCCUCCUAUCUCAGCUUCUGGAAGAGCUGGGAUAAUAGGAAUGCACCAGCAUGGAGUGGCAGACUUUUAAUUGAUGUUUUAUUUGGUAGUUUAGACUAAAUUUCUGGGGUCUGCUUUAUAAAACAGUAUAUAGAGAGCUAGGGAUGUAGCUUAAUGGUAGCGUGCUUGCCUAGCCACGUGUAAGGCACUGGGGUUUGAUCCUCAGCACCACAUAAAAAUAAAUAAAAUAAAGGUAUUGUGUUCAUCUACAAAUAAAAAUACCUAAAAAGGAAAAAGAAGACCCUAGUUUUGUUAGGAAUUUUUUAUUCCUCAAAUGUUUAAGCACCAUUAUGUCCUAAAAUUUCUGCUGUCAAGAAGCUUAUGUAGAUGCAGUAUGAUCAGUGUUUCUUCUGUUUUUUUUUUUGUUUUGUUUUGUUUUGUUUUUGUUGUUUAUACAGGGAGUUGAACCCAAAGGCUCUCAACCUCUGAGCCAUAUCCCCAGUAUUUGAUUUUUUUUAUUUAUUUAUUUUUAUUUAUUUUUUUUUUUUUUUGAGACAGGGUCUCACUAGGUUGCUUAGGACCUCAUUAAAUUGCAGAAGCUGGCCUGCCUCAGCCUCCCAUUUUGCUGGGAUUACAGGCAUGGAUUGCUGUGCCUGAUGCAAUGUAUUUUUUCAUUCUUUGAUACUUGAUGGAAAAGAAAACAAAUAUGAGGCUUCUUUGAAGUGACUGAUGCACAAAUAGAAAUUAACAGGACCUUGGUUAUAUCAAAAUACUGAGCUCAAGCCAUAAAUGUAGAAUAAGGACACUGAAGAUUUUAUAGCUAUUUUAAAGGAAAGGAAUCUCUUGUUCUCCCAUCCCGUAAAGGUAGCUACUAUCUACCACAAAGUCAACUCUUACCUCUUUCUUUGGGCUUACCCAAAUUCAGAUAAGACUUCAGCACCACCUGACAUUACUCUCCUCCGCCUCCCAUUUCUAGUUGUGCAGUAAUAUUUCUUUUUUUACUUUUACUGUUACCAAGCUGGGUGAGGGAGGUAAAGAGUUAGAGCUUCAUCAUUGUCAUUUAGUGAUCUUCUGGUAUCUCCAAUGGGGUAUUGGGGAUUUAACCCAUGGGUACUUUACCACUGAGCAAUAACCCAGUCCUUUUUAUUUUUAGACAGGGUCUCACUAAGUUGCUGAGGCUAGCCUUGAAUUUGUGAUCCUCCUGCCUCAGCCUCCCAGGUUGUUAGGGUUUCAGGUAUGCAUGCACCACUGCACCAAACCUUGUUUUUCUUUUUUGCAUUAUUGAUGAUUAAAUUCAAGACCUCAUACAUUCCAGGCAAGCACUCUGCUACUAAGCUCCACCCUGCCUUUUUUUUUUUUUAUUUUUUUGUUUUGAGACAGGGUCUUGCUAAGUUAUCUAGAGGUUGCCUUCAAAGCUGGGAUUGCAGGUAUGCACAACCAUGCCUGACCUUCAUGACCUUGUGAAAUAAGUAGAUACAGAGACCCACAGAGAUUUAUAUAAUUUGCUUUAGGUCACAGAAUAACAAUAGGAGUUCUGGUGCUGUAGUGGUGGAGCACCUCCUUCGCACACAUGUGAGGCACUGGGUUUGGUCCUCAGCACCACAUAAAAAUAAAUAAAUAUAUUGUGUCAUCUACAACUAAAAAUAACAAUAGGACGUGAGCCUGAAUGUUCAUGAUUCUAAAACCUGUAUUCCUCCUAGUCUGUUCCCAUAUUUAACCUAUAUCUUGAUUGUCUUGGUUUAAAAGUUUAAACUUAGUUUUGCACAAUUAGGAGAAGAGGUAAAAAGAUAGAAAACCUACAGUGAAUCAAAUAAGGACGACUUGAAAAUGGAGUAGAAGUUGGAGGGGGAUUGAUUUGAUUUUUGUUUUGAGUUGAACUUUGUGGGACAGGAGUAAAUGUGAGUUUGGAAGAGGGAAUGGUGAAAACCUUGUUCAUCCAUAUCCUAGGCACAACCAAAUUAUUGAACAUUGGAAUGAAAGCUUCUUAAGGUGCCUCUACUCUAAUUUUUAAUUUGGGAUUUGGGUAAGGAGUCUGAAAUGUUCCUGCAUAUGAGUCAUUGCUGUACCCCAUGAUUCACUGACUUCUUGGUGAGAGUCUUUGGAUUUUGGAAAAGAAAAAUGACAGCAGAAAAUGGAGGAAAAUUUAAGGUUGCAGUUUGCCUUUGUAGCAAGCAGCUCUGUAGAGCUUUAUAUAUUUCUCCUCUGAGAGGUAUUGGCUCUACUCGAAAUAUUGAGCUUCCUUGACUUUAUUUUUGUGUUUACACAAACUGGUCUAACAACUUUGAUUGGUUUGCCUGGGGGAUAAAAGCAUGUUUAUCUUGUUUGAAAAUUUUCCUAAAAUUUCUGAUCUUCUUGUAUUAAAACAAAAACAUAAACAGUAGAUGUUAUUAAAAUAGCCUUUAAAUUUUAAAAGAAACCAUAUAUUUAAUAAUCUGCAUUUCUCCCAGUCAAUGUCUUAUAAUAAAGGUGAAUUCAGAAACUUUAAGGUUUUCAACACAGAGUAGGGAGAGGCAUGCAGAGAAAGUAAUGAAAGGUAGUUUUGUGCCUAAAAUUCAAAAUUCUGAGAGUCCAAGACUUUAGCAACUUGGUAGAAACCUACCAAACAAAAAAGUUCUUAUUAGUUACAUUUCUGAAUCCAUUUUAAAAAUGGAAUCUAUAACAAGAUCAUGUCCUUAGGUGUAUUCACUACUUUGUCCUCUCUGAAGUGUUAAUUGGAUGUGAGUAUAUGGCCUCCCAACUGUAUUAUAUAGUAAAGUUGCUUAAUGGAUGUUUAUCUUCUUAACCUAUCUGCAGUAGGAAGUAAAUAGCUGCUUAUCUUUUUUUUUUUUUUUUAAGUUGAUAGAACCCGGUGCCUCACACUAGCCAGGCAAGUGCACUACCACUGAGUCCCAGCCCUAAUAGCUGCUUAUUAUCUAAGAUCUUUGCUGUGCACUCCAUAUCAUUAUCUUGCUUUAAGGAUUGCCUUUAGGCAUUUUUGGGUUCACUCAAUUAAUUUGUCCCAACCUUCUCUUUAGCCUGAAAGUUUCCAAUCCUUUGCGGUUUGGUGCCUGUUCUCACCUCAACUCUUAGCCUUCACCCCUGCCAUUCUUAGAGCCCCUUCUCAUUCCAUUCCUUAUUGAUUGCCUCUUUGCCAGUUCCAUCUCCUAGGAAACUAUUUUGUAAAUCAGAGAAUGUUCGCUUUAAAAAAAAAAAACUGAGCCCUUAAGAAAGAAUUCCCUUGGUCCCUACAGUUUCCAAGAGCCCCUAGGGUGGUAAUGUAUACCCCCUUUAGAAUCUUUUAUCAGAAAACAAUCACAAGCCAGUAAAGCUGGUAUUAAAACUUUUUUUGUCUUCUUCAUUUUGCCAUCUUGUAUCUUUUCAUGUUCUUGUGUGUAUAAGUUGACAUAGAAAAUACGUGGCACUUGCAGUCUAGACUGGUUUGGUUGUCGUUGCUGUUGUUUAGGUGUUGGGGAUUGAACCUAAGCUUCACCCCAUGCCAAGCAUACACUCUGCCACUGGGCUACUUACUCCUCCAGCUCCCAAACCAGACUUUUUUGGUACUGGGAAUUGAACCAGGGGUGCUUUAGCACUGAACUACAUCCCUUUUUAUUAUUUUGAGAUAGGGCCUCUCUCAGUUUCUGAGGCUGGCUUUAAACUUGAUCCUCCUGCCUCAGCCUCCCAAGUCACUGGGAUUACAUCACCCUACCCAGUGAUGUCGUGGUCCCCAGACCAUUUUUUUGUUUGUUUGUUUUUGUUUUCAGUACCAUAGAUUGAACUCAGGGGCACUCAACCACUGAGUCACAUCCCCAGCCCUAUUUUGUAUUUUAUUUAGAAACAGUGUCUCACUUCAUUGCUUAGCACCUUGAUUUUGCUGAGGCUGGCUUUGAACUCGAGAUCUCCCCAAACCACUGGGAUUACAGGAAUGCACCAUUGUGCCUGUCUCUGAAUCAUUUUUUUAGGUUAAAUUUGCUUAUUCAAUAUUUCCAGCCUCAGAAAAUUCCUUUUCUACUCCUUAGUCUACAGAGUUUACAUAAAACUACAGAAAGGUAUUUUUGGCAAUUUGGUUUUAGAAGCAUAUACCAAGUGUGAUGAGAGCUGAAGCUGUUUAUCAUAAAUUUCCUUGAUUCCCUGGUUUGGCUGGAAUACUUGCUCCCAUAUCCAAGGGGUGGCAGCAAAGUACACACCAUACUCUCCACAUUUAUUGGCUUUUAUCCAAUUCGUAGAUUAUUGGGAAUUUUUUCAUAAAGUUUAUUAUAAACAAGCCUUCUUGGUUUUAAGCAAACACUGCUGGUUUUGGAGAUGUUGCUUGAACUCACAAUCUGGAAGUAACCAUUUUUGAUAGUGAAAAGGAUUUGAUAAGCAAAUUGCCUGCUUGUAAAUAAAACUCUGUCUAGAGGACUUGUAGAAUUUACUGCUAGGAAAAAAACAUCCUGGGCAAGGUCUUCUGGAAAUGCAAUCCCUUUUGAGGGAAGGAGGGUAAUUUGGGAUGGAACUCGGGGGCACUGGACCACUGAGCCACAUCCCUAGCCCUAUUUUGUAUUUAUUUAGACAUGGGGUCUUACUGAGUUGCUUAGCACCUUUCUUUUGCUGAGUGUGACCUUGAACUUGCAAUCCUUCUGCCUCAGCCUCCCAAAUUGCUGGGAUUACAGGUGUAGCCACUGUGCCCAGCUGCAGUAAUAAAGUUAAAUAAGGGAGCCUGCCAUGGCAUGGCUGCUUCAGAGGCCAAGGCAGGAGAAUCACAAAUUCAAGGUCAGCCUGGGCAAUUUAGCAAGACCCUAAACAAUAAAGAGCUGGAGAUGUAACUCAGUGGUAGAGUACCUGGGUUCAUUCCACAGAACUGUUUAAAAAAGGAGAGCCAGGUGUGGUGGUGCACACCCAUGAUCCCAGCAGUUUGGAAGGCUGAGGUUGAUGGUUGUAAAUUCAAAUCAGCCUCAGUAAUUUAACUAUGCCCUAAGUAACUCAAUGAGACCCUGUCUCAAAAGGGAUGGAGGGGUGCAGCUCAAGGAAUGUGGUUGAGUGCCUCUAGGUUCAAUCCCCAGUAACAAAAAAAAAAAAGGAGAAAUGUUUGCUUUUUGUUUUUAUUCCCCUUACCCCCUCACAGUCCCUCUUCUCUUUAUUUAUUAUUAUUUUUAUUUUUUUAUUUUAAUAUUUAUUUUUUAGUUGUAGUUUGGGACACAGCACCCUUGUUUAUUUUUAUGUGGUGCUGAGGAUCGAACCCAGGACCUUUCAAGACUGGCAUAUUGGGCUACUGUGAAAAUACACAAGCUCAGUAAUUAGUGAUAAAGCUUAAACAUUCUGGCAGUCUUCCCAAUUUAAUGUGUCUUGAUUUGACCCCACCAAUUCCCCCAUGACACUAAUAAUUAUAUAAGUAUGAAACUCGCUAUAGUCUUUAAGGACCUGAUCUAUAAGGAUCUCAAGAAGUAACUUUCUGGGGCUGGGGAUGUGGCUCAAGAGGUAGCGCGCUCGCCUGGCAUGCGUGCGGCCCGGGUUCGAUCCUCAGCACCACAUACAAACAAAGAUGUUGUGUCCGCCGAUAACUAAAAAAUAAAUAUUUAAAAAAAAUUCUCUGUCUCCCUCUCUCACUCUCUCUUUUAAAAAAAAAAAGUAACUUUCUUACAGACUCACACUGAAGUAUCACAGUUUGUAAAAUGACGUCACAAUUUUUUAAAAUAUUUAUAUUUUUAGUUGUAGUUGGACACAAUACCUUUGUUUUAUUUAUUUAUUUUUAUGUGGUGCUGAGGACGAACCCAGGGCCUCACACAAGCUAGGCCCUGAGGGCUGCUCUACCACUGAGCCACAACACAACCCCAGCCCAUAUUGUCACAUUUUUUAACAUGCUUUGGUUCAUAUCAGAUCAGACUUGAUUCCUUGAAAGUGUAAAUCCUCUCAGUUUAUACUAAUAGCUAUUGUGAUAAAUAAAGCUAGCCUCUUUUCCUGGUCAGGGCAGCUUUGGGAAUUAAUUUUCAAUGUAAUAUAGUUUUCUUUAUAUACAGCAUUGGUAAUUUAAUGAGCACAUUUCUCAGGAAAACACUUUGAGGGGCUGGGAUUGUGACUCAAGAGAGUGCUCGCCUAGCAUGCGUGAGGCACUGGGUUCAAUCCUCAGCACCACAUAAAUAUAAAAUAAAGACAUUGUGUCCACCCAUAACUAAAAAAUAAAUAUUAAAAAAGAGAGCAAUGUCUUAUGUACUGUUGUCUUUCCCAUAGUUUUUUUGUUUUGUUUUUAGUUGGACACAAUACUUUUAUUUUGUUUACUUAUUUUUAUGUGGUACUGAGGAUCGAACCCAGGGCCUUGCAUGUGCUAGGCAAGCACACCACCACUGAGCCACAUCCCCAGCCUUUAAAUACUCUUUAGUUGUCAAUGGGCCUUUAUUUUAUUUAUUUUUAUGCAGUGCUGAGAAUGGAACCCAGUGCCUCACACAUGGUAGGCAAGCACUCUACCACUGAGCCACCAACCCAUCCCCCAUAUAUAUAUUCUUUAAUGGUAAUUUUAUUAAGAUUUAAUUUACAUGCCAUAAAACUUAUCCCCUUUAAAAUUCUCAGUACACUAAUCUUUCAGAGUUAUGCAACCAUCACCAUUAAUUUUAAAAUAUUUCCAUCAACCUGGAAAUAAACCACAUACACAUAUCCUUUAAUAAUCACACCCUGUUCCUUCCUCUCCCCAUCCCCUGGCAACCACUAAUCUACUUUCUGUAUCUAGAUUGCCUAUUCUGGACAUUACGUAUUUAAAUAGAACUGUACAAUAUGUGAUCUUUUGUGACUGGUUUUACUUAUUAUAAUGUAAAUAAAAUCAUUGGGGGGUUUUUUGCUGCUGAAUAAUAAUCCAUUGUAAUUUUUUAUUUUUAUUUUUUGUAGUUGUAGAUGAACAGAAUGCCUUUAUUUUAUUAAUUUUUUAUGUGGUGCUAGGCAAGCGCUUUGCCACUAUAAUCCAUUGUAUUUUUAUACCACAUUUUGUUUAUCCAUUCAUUCUUCAGAUUUGUGGGUUUCUACUUUUUUACUGUUAAGAGUAAUGCCUCAGGGCUGGGGAUAUAGCUCAGAUGGUAGAGUGCUUUCCUCACAUGCACAAGGCUCUGGGUUCAAUGGUUUGCAAAUAUUUUCUCCCAUUUCAUAGUUUUGUCUUUUUACUUUCUUUCUUUUGGUCUCAUAAUUUGGAUAGUGUAAAUUCUAGUGCUGUCAUCAAAGCACUUAGGGUGCUAAGUUAUUGUUUAAAAAUGUUCAAGGCAAGCUUGGAAUUUAGAGGAUAAUAAGUGGAAUUUUGUCUAGACUUUGGAAAGACUUAUUGUACUGUCCUGGCAUAGUGUCUCCCACUGAAAAGCCCCAGAUUCUAAGUCUCUGCCAUGCAAAGGCCUACUUACAGCUUCUUUCUUCAUCUUCGGGGAAAUAACUUGUUUGGCAAGCAUCCCCUUCAAGUGCCUUCCUCACAUGGCUAAUCUUACUCAGUAUUCAUUCAAAUAAUUAAACACUUUCAGUGUGAGCCAGUAUAUUACUAGUAUAGUCCUUGUCACAUUGAGAAUAACAUUUCUAUAAUUACUUAAGGGCAGCUCACCCUAACUUGUGUAAAUUCUGCUUUAGUGGUCUUUGAACCUCUAAUGAGUUAUUCUUUCUUUCACAGCAAUGGCACCAGCAUGAUAUCAUUGAUCAUUCCUCCCAAAGACCAGAUUUCACGAGUGGCAAAAAUGUUAGCAGAUGAGUUUGGAACUGCAUCUAACAUUAAGUCACGAGUAAACCGCCUUUCAGUCCUGGGAGCCAUUACAUCUGUACAACAAAGACUCAAACUUUAUAACAAAGGUAAUCUGGAACUGGAUCAUUUUGUUCUCUGCUUUAUCUUGGUUGCAUCUUCCACUCGGAUUCUGACAUGGUGAUUUAUUCACUAAGUUUUCCUGCAGCCAGCCAUCAUCAAUGUCUCCAUAGCAUUGCUGUUUAACUUUUUUAUUUAUAGAAAGUUAACUUUACUUGAAGGAAUAAAUUCUACUGAAAUACCUCAGGAGAAUUUUUAAAUUUAGGAGAGAGUUCUGAGAGAUUUAAGGAUAUUUCUGCUUUAUUUAAAUUUUUGACUGGGAACAUUUAAAGUAGAGAAAUUGUUUGUUAUUUGCAGUACCUCCAAAUGGUCUGGUUGUUUACUGUGGAACAAUUGUAACAGAAGAAGGAAAGGAAAAGAAAGUCAACAUUGAUUUUGAACCUUUCAAACCAAUUAAUACGUCAUUGUAUUUGUGUGACAACAAAUUCCACACAGAGGUAAGAGUUUGAACACUUGGGUUGU